CGAACCGCUGCUCGGGGACCCGGUGCGGGUCGGGCUCCGGAUCCGGGGGCAGCGGUUCAUCGAUCCGCCGCGGUUCGUC
rnacentral:tRNA from 1 species